UCUUUAUUUCCACGAUGCCUCUCAGCUUGCAACGGUGGAAAACUUGAUCUGGGUAAAACACGAGGAAGUUGUAAUCCAGACUGCACCAGCAUUCAUCACAACACAAAGGACUGAGUGCAGGCUGCCCAUUUACACAACUGGGGAACCAGAGGAAAUUUACUAUAAUGCUCUAAAGUACAACAAUGGUGCUUUACCAAGAAUUUUAACUCACAGCCCUUGGGUCCAGAGUUCAG